GAACGGGUGAGUAACACGUGGGCAAUCUGCCCUUCACUCUGGGACAAGCCCUGGAAACGGGGUCUAAUACCGGAUAAUACUCCUGCCUGCAUGGGCGGGGGUUGAAAGCUCCGGCGGUGAAGGAUGAGCCCGCGGCCUAUCAGCUUGUUGGUGGGGUAAUGGCCCACCAAGGCGACGACGGGUAGCCGGCCUGAGAGGGCGACCGGCCACACUGGGACUGAGACACGGCCCAGACUCCUACGGGAGGCAGCAGUGGGGAAUAUUGCACAAUGGGCGAAAGCCUGAUGCAGCGACGCCGCGUGAGGGAUGACGGCCUUCGGGUUGUAAACCUCUUUCAGCAGGGAAGAAGCGAAAGUGACGGUACCUGCAGAAGAAGCGCCGGCUAACUACGUGCCAGCAGCCGCGGUAAUACGUAGGGCGCAAGCGUUGUCCGGAAUUAUUGGGCGUAAAGAGCUCGUAGGCGGCUUGUCACGUCGGAUGUGAAAGCCCGAGGCUUAACCUCGGGUCUGCAUUCGAUACGGGCUAGCUAGAGUGUGGUAGGGGAGAUCGGAAUUCCUGGUGUAGCGGUGAAAUGCGCAGAUAUCANGAGGAACACCGGUGGCGAAGGCGGAUCUCUGGGCCAUUACUGACNCUGAGGAGCGAAA
rnacentral:rRNA from 1 species